AGUGAUUCCCAAAGUUUUGAAUUUUAUGGGCCAGAAAAAUGUCCAAAAACAGGACUGUCAUAAAGUUGCCAACUUAAUUUUGCUAAGAAUAGUUCACAAAAGAGAAAAACAACUGCCAUCUACUGUCACCAUCAUUUCCUAAAAGAAAGGACAUUUCACAUGUCGGAAAAGAGGGAAUCAAGGAGAAGCCCUUGAACUGAGCACAUUUAUCUUUAAGAAAGAUGCAUGACUUCAGGGAUGCUGUGUCUGGUGGGACACUUGUGCAUGGCGAGGCUGUCUGGGUGAGGGGCAUGCAGGACCUAAAUCCAGUCCUCGCCCUGCCUGCCAAGCCAUGUGCUCUGCAUGGUCUCUGUCCACUCAGAUGAAGGGGCACUUUUUUCUUUACACAAAGGGGCUUCCUGCUUGCCAAGCUGUGUGCUGACAGGGCUGUGUCUGCCCAGAGAGGGCAACCUUUUCUAAUCUGUGCAAAACACUUUUGAGCUGGCAGUGGCCCUGCACUACUUUGUUCCACGGUAAAACAUUUCACUGGGGGCUGUGCUUUAACCAGUGCCUGGCACGUAGUAGGUGCUCAAUAAAUAUGUAUUCAAUGAAUGUUGGAGAGCUGAGAGAAGCUCCAUCAAGGGCCGUUCCCAGGCUGCAGGUUGACAUUUGGGGGCCCGGUGGUCCUCAGCAACACAGCUACAGGCAUCACAUUUCAUGUUCUUUUCUCCUCAUACUCGUGUCUAAAUGGAAGGGAAUGAGGAGCAAGAUCAGGGCAGCCCCUCCUGCUUCUCAGUUCUUGAGAGGACCAGAAAGAAGCCAGCCUUAAAGGAUUGCUUUAAGCCAAUUGGACUUUGUACAGUUACCUCUUCAGCUUGCUUCACAACUCAGGUAACAGAGCCUUUGAAGGGUUAAAGCAUACACUCUAGUUCACUGGGUGGCAGAGUGAGAUUUCAAGGAUUUGGGAGAGAGCGACACUGGGGUACUGUCCUCCAGAAAUCCUGUAUCCCUUGGAAACUGCUCAGUCAUGGUGUUUGUGGUCACUUUUCAGCGACUGGAGUUCCCAUCGUGUGCAGCGGAAAUGAAUCCAACUAGGAACCAUGAGGUUGUGGGUUCGAUCCCUGACCUCGCUCAGUGGGUUAAGGAUCUGGUGUUGCUGUGAGCUGUGGUGUAGGUCAGCAGCUGUAGCUCCAAUUAGACUCCUAGCCUGGGAACCUCCAUAUGCCGUGGAUGGGGCCCUAAAAAACAAACAAACAAACAAAUAGACAAAAAUACCAGGACUCUGAGAGGGUGUACUCACUUCCCGGGGCUGCUGGAACAAAUUGCCAUAAACUUGGGGUCUCAAAACAACAGAAAUGUCUUCUCACAGUUUUAAAGGCCAGAAGGCCAACAUCGGUUUCACCGGACUGAAAUUAAGGUGGAGGCAGGGCUGUACUCUCUCCAGAGGCUGUAGGGGAAAAUCUGUUUCUUCUCUCUGCCAGUGCCGGGAACGACACUCUUCAGCUCAUGGCUUUUUCCUCCACCUUCGAAGCCAUCUGCACAUCCCUCUCGGCUUCCAUCAUCACGUCACCUUCUAUCCUUUAGGCGAGAGUAUGAUCUCUCUCCUCGUCUCUCUUAUAAGGAUACUUGUGACAGCACUCAGGGCUCACAGAGAUCACCCAGGAUGAUCACCUUAUCUCAAAAUCCCCAAUCAUAUCUGCAACAGUUUUAUCAGGUAAGGUAGCAUUCACGGCCCUUAGGGGUUUGGACUUGAUACUGUUGAGUGGCCAUUAUUCAGCCUACUGCAGAGGGUCAGUGACUUGCCCAAGGUCAUGUGCAAAUGUGGGGUUCAAACCCAAGCAAACUCUCUUCUGACCACGCCUAACCACCCCCCAGCUAUCCUGCCGAAGGGCCAGCAGCCCAGACCCGUGUUUCCAUCAGGGGAGGCCACGACUUGAGAUCCAGACAUGGCUAUUCACACGAAGCCAUUAAAUGGCCUUUAGUAUAGUUGGCAGUGACAGGGGAAGGAAGAGAGUUCUUCUUUUUAUAAAAACAAAUUUAACCUGCUCACCCUUCUUGGCAGCUAGGCCAGGUCUCUGCCAUUUUGCAAAGUAAUGAUGAGAAAAUAUUUGUUUGUUUUGCUGUUUGUAACUCAUCAUUGAACCUGGGACCUAUUAAUAAAUUUAAAUUUGUGAUUGAGGGAUAGAGAUGGGGAAGGAAGGAAGGCUCUUAAGGAGGAUUAAUGGUAAAUACCCAGGAACUGUGUUUUCUUCUCGGCCACAUCUCUACUCCUGGCUGAAGUCAGUGGAAGUCUGGUCUCAUGGGGGCCUUAGGGCUGCUGAGUGCAGAGGCUGGACACAGGUGCCUACUGGUCUAGUCACUUCUUGGGCAGUCAGGAAACUCUCUUUUACCAGAUACUUUUCUUGCCUUGCCCUGUACUUGAAAGCCAGAGAACAGAGUGAAAAGAAUGAACAGACAGGGUGCGGUCUGAAUGACAUAAAGAUUCCGGCUUUAGAAGAAGAGAGAACAGGCGUUCCCAUCGUGACUCAGCGGUUAACAAAUCUGACUAGCAUCCAUGAGGAUACAGGUUCGAUCCCUGGCCUCGCUCAGUGGGUUAAGGAUCCGGCAUUGCUGUGAGCUGCAGUAUAGGUCGAAGAGUGGCUUGGAUCCCAAGCUGCUGUGGCUGUGGUGUAGGACGGCAGCUGUGGCUCCAAUUCGACCCUUAGCCUGGGAACCUCCAUAUGCCAAGAGUGCAGCCCUAAAAAAG
rnacentral:lncRNA from 1 species